GUGCCAGCAGCUGCGGUAAUACGGAGGGUGCAAGCGUUAAUCGGAAUUACUGGGCGUAAAGCGCACGCAGGCGGUCUGUCAAGUCGGAUGUGAAAUCCCCGGGCUCAACCUGGGAACUGCAUUCGAAACUGGCAGGCUAGAGUCUUGUAGAGGGGGGUAGAAUUCCAGGUGUAGCGGUGAAAUGCGUAGAGAUCUGGAGGAAUACCGGUGGCGAAGGCGGCCCCCUGGACAAAGACUGACGCUCAGGUGCGAAAGCGUGGGGAGCAAACAGGAUUAGAUACCCUGGUAGUCCACGCCGUAAACGAUGUCGAUUUGGAGGUUGUGCCCUUGAGGCGUGGCUUCCGGAGCUAACGCGUUAAAUCGACCGCCUGGGGAGUACGGCCGCAAGGUUAAACUCAAAUGAAUUAACGGGGCCCGCACAAGCGGUGGAGCAUGUGGUUAAUUCGAUGCAACGCGAAGAACCUUACCUGGUACUUGACAUCCACAGAACUUUCCAGAGAUGGAUUGGUGCCUUCGGGACUGUGAGACGAGGUGCG
rnacentral:rRNA from 1 species